AGUGAACGCUGGCGGUAGGCCUAACACAUGCAAGUCGAACGGCAGCACAGUAAGAGCUUGCUCUUACGGGUGGCGAGUGGCGGACGAGUGAGGAAUACAUCGGAAUCUACUUUUUCGUGGGGGAUAACGUAGGGAAACUUACGCUAAUACCGCAUACGACCUACGGGUGAAAGCAGGGGAUCUUCGGACCUUGCGCGAUUGAAUGAGCCGAUGUCGGAUUAGCUAGUUGGCGGGGUAAAGGCCCACCCAGGCGACGAUCCGUAGCUGGUCUGAGAGGAUGGUCAGCCACACUGGAACUGAGACACGGUCCAGACUCCUACGGGAGGCAGCAGUGGGGAAUAUUGGACAAUGGGCGCAAGCCUGAUCCAGCCAUACCGCGUGGGUGAAGAAGGCCUUCGGGUUGUAAAGCCCUUUUGUUGGGAAAGAAACGCAGCAGGUUAAUACCCCGCUGUUCUGACGGUACCCAAAGAAUAAGCACCGGCUAACUUCGUG
rnacentral:rRNA from 1 species